rnacentral:tRNA from 1 species
GGAGGGGUAGCGAAGUGGUCAAACGCGCCUGACUGUAAAUCAGGUGGCUCACGCCUUCGGAGGUUCGAAUCCUCCCCCCUCCACCA